rnacentral:rRNA from 1 species
CGAACGCUGGCGGCGUGCCUAAUACAUGCAAGUCGAACGAGUGCGACCGGUGCUUGCACUGGUCAAUCUAGUGGCGAACGGGUGAGUAACACGUGGGUAACCUGCCCACCAGAGGGGGAUAACAUCCGGAAACGGAUGCUAAAACCGCAUAGGUCUUCGAGCCGCAUGGCUUGAAGAGGAAAAGAGGCGCAAGCUUCUGCUGAUGGAUGGACCCGCGGUGCAUUAGCUAGUUGGUGAGGUAACGGCUCACCAAGGCCGUGAUGCAUAGCCGACCUGAGAGGGUGAUCGGCCACAUUGGGACUGAGACACGGCCCAAACUCCUACGGGAGGCAGCAGUAGGGAAUCUUCCGCAAUGGACGCAAGUCUGACGGAGCAACGCCGCGUGAGUGAAGAAGGUUUUCGGAUCGUAAAACUCUGUUGUUAGAGAAGAACAAGUGCUAGAGUAACUGUUAGCGCCUUGACGGUAUCUAACCAGAAAGCCACGGCUAACUACGUGCCAGCAGCCGCGGUAAUACGUAGGUGGCAAGCGUUGUCCGGAUUUAUUGGGCGUAAAGCGAGCGCAGGCGGUUCCUUAAGUCUGAUGUGAAAGCCCCCGGCUCAACCGGGGAGGGUCAUUGGAAACUGGGGAAC